AGGGGGGUCAUUGUUCCAGGAGCAGAGUUACUCACCAGAGAGAGGCGAAGAGGCAUAUCUGGACAGGUCUACCUGGCAGUCAGUUGUCAGGCCGAUAAUCCAGCUCCAGCUACAUUUCUUGGAGAGGAUGAACUGCUCUGUCCUCAGCUCUGUGCCAGCCAGAAGGAUAAUAAACAAACCACCCCCAAAGCUAUAAGGGUAGAAGAGGCCCAAGAGGACAAGACUAAACAGAGAGUGAGGGCUUCAACCUCUUCACAAGAAAAAAGGUUCUUUUCAACCAAGAUGCUACCGAAACCAAAGUUAGAAGAUAAGGACAAGCAUAGGAGAAGCCAACCCACUUCCUCCUGGACCUGGCUCAUAACCAGGUCACAGAGAAGCCUGCGAAUCUUUGCACUAUAAGGAACACUGAAAGUUCUUCACUCCAGUCUCCCCUGCCAGCAAGAUGCCUCUUAUAUGGGGCGAUCUAGCCACUGCCGGACACUCACAGAGGAGGGGCACGGGCUGCCUCACAAAACUGCCCAUCCUUAUACCUCUCAUCGAUCGUCCUACGUUGUCCCCUACAGUGUGUAGAGUAAAUAAGAUCCCCUUCCUAUGACGGUUCCAUGAGGUGCCUCCUAAUCUGACUUUUGUCUUUUCUUCCAGUGUACACUUUUAUUAGUGCACAUUAAUUUAACAAAACACUGGGUUUCAUUGUGGCAUUUUCAUAU
rnacentral:lncRNA from 1 species